UGUGAAUCAAAAGGGAACACGUGUAGUUGGAAUAGUACAAAGAAUGAAUUCAGUUGUUUAGACAACCAUAAAGGACCAUCAACAGCUCUGGUAACAACAGGAUCAGUACUGGGAUCAUUUUUCCUUAUCCUGCUUACCGGUGUAAUUUACUACAUCUAUGAUACUUGCAUAAUACAAAAAUAUGAUUAUAUUUUCUUAGAUGAGAUUGAUGCUGAUUUAGAUCAAGGUGGUGGUGGUGGUAGUACUAGUACAUUUUAUGCUGCACCACUUGCUUUUUCUGGUUCAAGUAGUGGAAAUGAAGGUGAUGA